UUACGGGAGGCAGCAGUAGGGAAUAUUGGACAAUGGGUGCGAGCCUGAUCCAGCCAUGCCGCGUGCAGGAAGACGGCCUUUUGGGUUGUAAACUGCUUUUGCCAGGGGAUAAAAAGUCCCUGCGGGGAAAAUUGAAGGUACCUGGUGAAUAAGCCACGGCUAACUACGUGCCAGCAGCCGCGGUAAUACGUAGGUGGCAAGCGUUGUCCGGAUUUAUUGGGUUUAAAGGGUGCGUAGGUUGUGUUGUAAGUCAGUGGUGAAAUCCGGCAGCUUAACUGUCGAUGUGCCAUUGAUACUGCAGCACUUGAGUACAGACGAGGUAGGCGGAAUUGACGGUGUAGCGGUGAAAUGCUUAGAUAUCGUCAAGAACACCGAUAGCGAAGGCAGCUUACUAGACUGUAACUGACACUGAUGCACGAAAGUGUGGGGAUCAAACAGGAUUAGAUACCCUGGUAGUCCACACUGUAAACGAUGAUUACUCGAUGUUGGCGAUACACAGCCAGUGUCUUAGCGAAAGCGAUAAGUAAUCCACC
rnacentral:rRNA from 1 species